AUGUCGCAGCCAGCUUGGGAGAAGAACGACAUCUACCGCGCCGGCAUUGUGCCGGUUCUCUACCAGCGUGUCAAGUGCUGGCGCCAGGGCGGGGUCAGGUUCAUCAUCGCCGGCUUCAACUACUUCGAGCUCGUGCUCAUCACCAACGUCGCCGGCAGCGGAUCGGUGGCCAUGGCGUCCAUCAAGGGCUCCAACACGGGGUGGAUCCAGAUGUCCAGAAACUAG
rnacentral:rRNA from 1 species